rnacentral:rRNA from 1 species
UACAGAGGGUGCGAGCGUUAAUCGGAAUUACUGGGCGUAAAGCGUGCGUAGACGGUUAUUUAAGUCGGGUGUGAAAGCCCCGGGCUCAACCUGGGAAUUGCAUUCGAGACUGAAUAGCUAGGGUACGGUAGAGGGAAGUAGAAUUUCCGGUGUAGCGGUGAAAUGCGUAGAUAUCGGAAGGAACAUCAGUGGCGAAAGCGACUUCCUGGACCAGUACCGACGUCAGGCACGAAAGCGUGGGGAGCAAACAGG